GGAUCGAUGAUGACUCCUCCAAAAAAAACCAAACCAACAUUCCUUGGAAAAGCUGAACAAAAUGAGUGAGAACUACACCCGUCGUCGUUCUCAUCGGUAACUGAGGUCC
rnacentral:snoRNA from 12 species